rnacentral:rRNA from 1 species
CUUGCUCUCUGGGUGGCGAGUGGCGGACGGGUGAGGAAUACAUCGGAAUCUACUUUUUCGUGGGGGAUAACGUAGGGAAACUUACGCUAAUACCGCAUACGACCUACGGGUGAAAGCAGGGGAUCUUCGGACCUUGCGCGAUUGAAUGAGCCGAUGUCGGAUUAGCUAGUUGGCGGGGUAAAGGCCCACCAAGGCGACGAUCCGUAGCUGGUCUGAGAGGAUGAUCAGCCACACUGGAACUGAGACACGGUCCAGACUCCUACGGGAGGCAGCAGUGGGGAAUAUUGGACAAUGGGCGCAAGCCUGAUCCAGCCAUACCGCGUGGGUGAAGAAGGCCUUCGGGUUGUAAAGCCCUUUUGUUGGGAAAGAAAUCCAGCUGGUUAAUACCCGGUUGGGAUGACGGUACCCAAAGAAUAAGCACCGGCUAACUUCGUGCCAGCAGCCGCGGUAAUACGAAGGGUGCAAGCGUUACUCGGAAUUACUGGGCGUAAAGCGUGCGUAGGUGGUCGUUUAAGUCCGUUGUGAAAGCCCUGGGCUCAACCUGGGAACUGCAGUGGAUACUGGGCGACUAGAAUGUGGUAGAGGGUAGCGGAAUUCCUGGUGUAGCAGUGAAAUGCGUAGAGAUCAGGAGGAACAUCCAUGGCGAAGGCAGCUAC